UUUGCAGACGACUUAAAU
rnacentral:snRNA from 1 species